rnacentral:lncRNA from 1 species
AGCUCAACACAAAUUCGUGCAAAUUUACCUCUCGCUUGGCUCAUAGUGAGAGCAUCAACCUUAACAGUAUGACCAAUCAAAUUGCCAAUUUUUCCCAUAACAUCCGGUCGGAAAUACUCCACAUUGAGACCAUUAACUCUGACCCAAGCCGUCAUGUGUGUAACACGCUCCUCCUUCGGAUUAAACCCAGGCUUCCAUUGUUGAGUCACAAGAUAUUGACCAGCGAUUUGCCAAGGGCCACCAGUGAGCACAUACUGCAUAUCCUCCUCAAGCAAAAACUUAACAAUGAAAUAAUUGUUUUCCAAAUCAAUCAAACUCAUCGGACCCUUCAGGGCCCAGCGAUGAAGAAGCCGAGCACGAAGAAAAUUAUAAGUCAACGGACGACCCAUAAGCUUGAUGAUCACAGAGGUUCUCCAAGGACGAUAUAGACAAUCCUUAAUUGAUUCAGAGAAAUUAAUGGACGGAAUAUCCCCAUCCAUAACCACACAAUCGCCAUCACCAAUGAUCAGAUGAUCUUCAGCCAUGCCAGAGAGACCAGAAACCUUGUCCUUGAAACUCAUCGGAAGAGGAGGCACAGGAAGAGAAGAAUCCUCACCAUCGCUACCCCCAACAUCACACAUCUCAUGGGUACGAGCUCGUUUCUCACCAAUACAC